UACGUAGGGUGCAAGCGUUGUCCGGAAUUAUUGGGCGUAAAGAGCUUGUAGGCGGUUUGUCGCGUCUGCCGUGAAAGUCCGGGGCUCAACUCCGGAUCUGCGGUGGGUACGGGCAGACUAGAGUGAUGUAGGGGAGACUGGAAUUCCUGGUGUAGCGGUGAAAUGCGCAGAUAUCAGGAGGAACACCGAUGGCGAAGGCAGGUCUCGUGGGCAUUAACUGACGCGAGGAGCGAAAGCAUGGGGAGCGAACAGG
rnacentral:rRNA from 1 species